ACGUAGGGGGCAAGCGUCAUCCGGAAUUAUUGGGCGUAAAGAGUGCGUAGGUGGUUUUUUAAGCGAGAGGUGAAAGGCAAUAGCUUAACUAUUGUAAGCCUUGCGAACUGGAAGACUUGAGUGCAGGAGAGGAAAGUGGAAUUCCUAGUGUAGCGGUGAAAUGCUUAGAUAUGAGAAGGAACACCAGUGGCGAAGGCAACUUUCUGGACUAUAACUGACACUGAGGCACGAAAGCGUGGGAAGCAAACAG
rnacentral:rRNA from 1 species